UGAAGGCAUUUCAGGAAAGGUUUGAUGAUAAGAGAAAGGUCACUUAAAUGUGGGCACCACCAUCACAAAUCCCACGGACUGCGGUCCCGUGCUGAGUAAAAGACAGGAAGUCGACUGAGGACCAGCAUCCCCCACGCUCUGCUUCCUGCCUGGGGAUGCAGUGCGGCUCCACUCAUCUGUAGUUCCGCCUCCCACCUUGCUCCCCUUGAUUCACGGUCCCCUUAAACUUCGAACCAAAGCGAACCCUUUCCUUAGGUUGCUGUUGGACAGGAACCUGGCUACAGAGGGAUGACUCUUCUGGAGCAUCCCCUCAGGGUAGGAGUCAGGGAGGAUGCGCCGCCGGCUAAGGCUUCAGUUCUUGGUGGCCUUGGCUUGCGGAUGCUGCCCCAUGCUCUCUGAUCGAUACCCCAUGUUCGCAUGCCCGGUCCUCUUUCCAGGGACACCACAUUGGCUGAGGACCUACACCUGUGAGCUGAUCUUAACUUGAUCAGCCCUGCCCAGAAGGACCCUGUUUAAAGGACUUCUAACAUCUUGCUCAUCUCUACACUGUGCACAAGGAUUUCAGAGCAGAAGAAAACAGGGUAUGCACAUGGAGAGCAGAGGACAACUCAAGAGAGCUGGUUCUUUUUGUCCCUACUAUCUGAGUCCCGGGGACUUGAACUCAGGUCAUCAGACUUGGCAGCAGAUGCUUGUAUGCACUGAGCCACCUCGCUGGUCCGUGUGACAAAGAUUUUUAUACCCGAAACCAUACAGUAGGGAGGGAUACACGAUGACAAAUCACCUGCUCUUGGCUUUCCCCACAAUGGAUGCAGAGAUUGCCCUUCAGAUGGGGUAGGGAAGAGACUUCCACUUGAGGAAGGGGACAUUGACACAGGAGACAUCCAAGAUAACAGAUAAUGAAGCCAACUCCCAACCAGCCUGAGUGCAUCAAGACUCCAAGAUGCCCCAAAGUUCCUUUUGUGGAAAGCUGAACAUUUCUCUCCUGUGCUGGCCCGGUAUUAUGAUUUUUUUCUGAAACAGUCACUUCCUGUCACAAGGAUAAGUCGACUGUUCCCAAGGCAUCCCGGAGAAGCCUGAAGUAGAGUUGUUGGUGCAUGCUGAAGAGGCCUUAAGUGAGGCCACAAAGAAAUCUGACUAGGAACACAGCAUUCUUUGAGCCAGCCUUGCAAAGGCUGCCUGCAGUGAGGCUGGCCCCACCUGAGUCAUCUCUGAGUGGGAAGGACCGGAGCCAGCUGUCUCUUCAGGCUGGCGGGGUUUGUAUUUCUCUGCCAAAGUCACACUUCAAGCAAGUGAAACAGUCCUGAGUUGUUAGCUGGGGUCAGAGUCACAGCGCCACUCAAUAGACUUCCCUCUCCCCAGCUGUCCUCCUCUGUCCUCCGCUUCCCAGGCUUCACAGGGGCCGAGGCCCUGAGGGAAGGCACAUUGCAUUCUGACUGUGUGCAAGAAGAGUCUAUGUUCUGACACGAUCGCCUCCCAGAACUGCAAUUCUAUUCAUUCUAUUAAAAAAAAAAUUCCACCUA